AAAAGUACUUUGUUGCUAAGAAACCUCUAUUUUGAUCUGGAAAUUUUGAUGAAGCUACUUCCUGUCAAACGUUCCACCAAUCAGAGAGCUUAACUUGAUAUAAUUGUCCAAUCAGGAGCAGCUGAAGAUCACCAAGCGAGCAGAAAGUUCUAUGUCUGACUGAAAAUAACAAAAAUAAUGAUCCUCUAUGGCUAGAAUGAAGUCAAUAAGAUGUUUUUGAUGUCCACGGUGGGGUCACAAAGCAG